GACGAACGCUGGCGGCGUGCCUAAUACAUGCAAGUAGAACGCUGAAGGAGGAGCUUGCUUCUCUGGAUGAGUUGCGAACGGGUGAGUAACGCGUAGGUAACCUGCCUGGUAGCGGGGGAUAACUAUUGGAAACGAUAGCUAAUACCGCAUAAUAGUAGAUGUUGCAUGACAUUUGCUUAAAAGGUGCAAUUGCAUCACUACCAGAUGGACCUGCGUUGUAUUAGCUAGUUGGUGGGGUAACGGCUCACCAAGGCGACGAUACAUAGCCGACCUGAGAGGGUGAUCGGCCACACUGGGACUGGGACACGGCCCAGGCUCCUACGGGAGGCAGCAGUAGGGAAACUUCGGCAAUGGACGGAAGUCUGACCGAGCAAAGCCGAGGGAGUGAAGAAGGGUUUCGGGUCGGAAAGCUCUGUUGUAAGAGAAGAAAGAGUGUGAGAGUGGAAAGUUCACACUGUGACGGUAGCUUACCAGAAAGAGACGGCUAACUACGUG
rnacentral:rRNA from 1 species